rnacentral:tRNA from 1 species
AGCAGAGUGGCGCAGUGGAAGCGUGCUGGGCCCAUACCACAGAAGUCGAUGGAUCGAGACCAUUCUCUCUGCUA